AUGAAUUCAGUUUUUUGGUUUUUUUGGUACUGUUAUUUUUUUUUGUGUGUGUAUAUAUAUAUAUAUAUAUAUAAUGUUUUUUUGUCCGCCAUGUUUACGCAAUUUUCCGCUCCGCCAUCCGCCAUAAUUUUGGUUCGCCACUAUUCUCCGCAAUCUGCCAUAGACAAUACUGGCCUUGUCGACCCGUAG